rnacentral:rRNA from 1 species
CCUACGGGUGGCUGCAGUGGGGAAUAUUGGACAAUGGGCGAAAGCCUGAUCCAGCCAUGCCGCGUGUGUGAAGAAGGCCUUCGGGUUGUAAAGCACUUUCAGUGGGGAAGAAAGCCUUGGGGCUAAUACCCUCGAGGAAGGACAUCACCCACAGAAGAAGCACCGGCUAACUCCGUGCCAGCAGCCGCAGUAAUACGGAGGGUGCGAGCGUUAAUCGGAAUUACUGGGCGUAAAGCGCGCGUAGGCGGUCUGAUAAGCCGGUUGUGAAAGCCCCGGGCUCAACCUGGGAACGGCAUCCGGAACUGUCAGGCUAGAGUGCAGGAGAGGAAGGUAGAAUUCCCGGUGUAGCGGUGAAAUGCGUAGAGAUCGGGAGGAAUACCAGUGGCGAAGGCGGCCUUCUGGACUGACACUGACGCUGAGGUGCGAAAGCGUGGGUAGCAAACAGGAUUAGAUACCCGAGUAGUC